CAUCGGCCCCAUGUUGCGUUGCUGUGUGAUUUGAAAUCAGCAAACGCACAUGGGGUUGACG
rnacentral:pre_miRNA from 1 species